rnacentral:rRNA from 1 species
UGGGGAAUAUUGGACAAUGGGGGGAACCCUGAUCCAGCCAUGCCGCGUGUGUGAAGAAGGCCUUAUGGUUGUAAAGCACUUUAAGCGAGGAGGAGGGUACUGGUAUUAAUACUACCAGGUACUGGACGUUACUCGCAGAAUGAGCACCGGCUAACUCUGUUCCAGCAGCCGCGGUAAUACAGAGGGUGCAAGCGUUAAUCGGAAUUACUGGGCGUAAAGCGCGCGUAGGUGGUUCGUUAAGUUGAAUGUGAAAGCCCCGGGCUCAACCUGGGAACUGCAUCCAAAACUGGCGAGCUAGAGUAGGGCAGAGGGUGGUGGAAUUUCCUGUGUAGCGGUGAAAUGCGUAGAUAUAGGAAGGAACACCAGUGGCGAAGGCGACCACCUGGGCUCAUACUGACACUGAGGUGCGAAAGCGUGGGGAGCAAACAGG